AUUGAACGCUGGCGGCAUGCCUUACACAUGCAAGUCGAACGGCAGCACGGGUGCUUGCACCUGGUGGCGAGUGGCGAACGGGUGAGUAAUACAUCGGAACAUGUCCUGUAGUGGGGGAUAGCCCGGCGAAAGCCGGAUUAAUACCGCAUACGAUCUACGGAUGAAAGCGGGGGACCUUCGGGCCUCGCGCUAUAUGGUUGGCCGAUGGCUGAUUAGCUAGUUGGUGGGGUAAAGGCCUACCAAGGCGACGAUCAGUAGCUGGUCUGAGAGGACGACCAGCCACACUGGGACUGAGACACGGCCCAGACUCCUACGGGAGGCAGCAGUGGGGAAUUUUGGACAAUGGGCGAAAGCCUGAUCCAGCAAUGCCGCGUGUGUGAAGAAGGCCUUCGGGUUGUAAAGCACUUUUGUCCGGAAAGAAAUCCUUGGCCCUAAUACGGUCGGGGGAUGACGGUACCGGAAGAAUAAGCACCGGCUAACUACGUG
rnacentral:rRNA from 1 species